CAGUAGCCGCGGUAAUACGUAGGUGGCAAGCGUUGUCCGGAAUUAUUGGGCGUAAAGGGCUCGCAGGCGGUUUCUUAAGUCUGAUGUGAAAGCCCCCGGCUCAACCGGGGAGGGUCAUUGGAAACUGGAAACUUGAGUGCAGAAGAGGAGAGUGGAAUUCCACGUGUAGCGGUGAAAUGCGUUGAGAUCGGAAAGAACACCAACGGCGAAAGCACUCUACUGGGCCGACACUGACACUGAGAGACGAAAGCUAGGGGAGCAAAUGGGAUUAGAUACCCGUGUAGUCCCUGUCUCUUAUACA
rnacentral:rRNA from 1 species